GCAGGGAAUGAGCGGGUGGCGUACCAGGCUGCGCGGACACUCUCCAACUUGUGGAUCCUUUCUUCAAUAGGAGGCUGACAAGGCAGCUCGUUGUACUACAUGUCUACAUGUCCUCAUCGAAGGACCUGAAUGCGGACGAGUUUUUCGGAUGGGUGCCAGAGAUGCACUAAAGUGGUCGAUACCGGGAGCUCCUGUCUCCACCGACGGCCUCAACCCUCCAGUGCCAGAGGGGCCAAGGCUCUUAUGGUGACUACGACAACAGCACAUUUUUUCAAGAUAUUGUUAGCUCCUCGAACAGUUAUCUCCAGUAUUGCUUCCUGGGGGACUAACUGGCUGUGACAAAGCACUGGAGAAAAUGCUAGCGAUGGUCAGAAGAUAUAGUUAUUGGAGAAAACAAUGUGAUUCUAGUCAUUAUACGGUCGGCGGAAAGGAGCUAGCGUCCAAGACACGACAUGAUUGUGUUAGUCAGGUGUGUUCUUUACCUGGGUAGCUAAGUUGGUGGAGCUAUCACUGGCGUCUUUUUGGAAAUAAAAUGUAAUUUGUGGCUCUAAAUGCCCUGUUUUGGAACGCCGGAAUUUCAUGGAACCUGAGUUGGAAAUUGCGUUGUUUGUUGUGAAAUUCUUGCGUUGCAGAUCCUUCCAAGACGAAUAGAACAAGAAUGGAUAAUAUGUUCUUCCAAA